rnacentral:rRNA from 1 species
GUCGCUACUACCGAUUGAAUGGCUCAGUGAGGCCUUCGGACUGGCUCGAGGAGGUUGGCAACGACCACCUCAAGCCGGAAAGUUCGUCAAACUCGGUCAUUUAGAGGAAGUAAAAGUCGUAACAAGGUCUCC